rnacentral:lncRNA from 1 species
GUUUCCUAUGAUUCGGAAUCCUAUAGGAACAAGUAUUUGUCCUAUAAAAGGGAGAAUAAAAUCUGCACUCUCUCAGUUCAGAACAUAGAGGAUGGAGAUGAAGGUACCUACUACUGUGCCUACUGGGUGUCCCACAGCAGGAGCAGCCUGCAGGCAGCCCUUACAGAAAGCUGGCUGCAACCUGAGCAGCACGCUUUCAUACAAGUGCCGAGAGCCACAGCUGCCUUCCUGCCCCCAUCUCUCAGCCUUCAAGACAUCCCCACAAGCUGAAGCAGAGGAAGGAAUUCCAAGACAAAAGCCAAGACACUUAUGUGGCAAUCAUGUUCAGAGCUCACAGUCUCUGUCACUAUUCUGUGUGGCCUGAGCCCAUUGCUUCCUCUCCCUACCAGCAGCAGUCCCAGUUUUUCACCGCUGGAAUGGCAACACUACAGGGCUGAUGAAAGAUGCUGCUUGGACAGCCCUGGGGGUCUGAGGGGAGUAGAGUGACCUGGGGAAGGGCACAACUGAACAACCCUGCCUUCUACGCGUGUGCCAAACAAGAUUUAUGGGUAAGAUUAAAUGGAGUGUAGCAGAUAGAUAGAUAGGUGCACACAAAACAGUUACUGGAUCGAAUAUUUUAGGUCCUCUCUACAGUGCUACUGAUGGGGUUUCAUUUGCCAGUGAAUUUAGAGCACACAAAUACGCCCUCCCUGGCAAUGAGCUGAAGAGCUUCCAUUGGAUGAGCCAUGAGUCAUCUCCUCCUCCCAGCUGCUGAUGCUUUCUCCACCUGGAUGGCUUUAGAACACUUCUCCACUACCUCAGCUCUACAUUUCACUCUUGCACACAGCAUGCUGUUGCUUCCCUUACUCGCUGUGACUUCAUUUUGGUCCCGUAAGUGCCGUUUCCUUUCUCCUCUCCAUCCUGUGCAUGGAGAACACAGUCCCUGCUCCAAGCUUGGUGGGUCCUGGCCUACAUGCAGCUUCUCCCUGUUCCCUUGCAGGUGGAGAUGCACAGGCUGUACCGGUGCAAAGCCCGGCAGAACGCGGGCUGUUGGAGGGCAGACCAGUCACCAUGACAUGCCAGCUGAGCAGUGAAAACGUUGUGCACUGGUACAGGCAGCUUCCCGGGGAGCCACCCAAGAGGAUACUGUACGUGUCCGGAUCCUCACCUACCUUCGAUGACAACAAUGAUAGAGCGAAGUUUCAAGUGCAGAAAAAUCCUUCCAGCAGUGUUCUGACAAUAAGGAAAGCAACCCGGAGGGAUACCGGUACUUACUACUGUGCAUAUUGGUAUUAUGAAUAUUAUUUUGGCAUCACAGCAUUAGAUCGGCAAAGAUGGAUUAGCACAGGAAACUCCCAUACAGAGCCCUGUAUCCAUCACCGUGGCACAAGGAAACACUGAUCUGAAGUGUCAUUUUAAGGACUUCUCUGGAAAUUUUGAUAACACCGUCAUACACUGGUAUCAACAGAAGGAGAAUAAAGCUCCAGUCAGGAUGAUCUACUUUUCA